ensembl:lncRNA
ACCGGGACCAGCAAAGGAUGGCGCAGGGACGAAGGGUGAGCAGGCAGAGGAGGCAGCAGGGGCCCUACCCUUACAAAGAGGAGGAGCCGGGGCACAGAGGGAAGAAGCAGCUUGAUCAAGGAGUCACAUCGGGUCAUGGCUGGAGGCUGGGAUGUGAAGGAGUGUAGAAUUAAUAAUAAUAAUAAAGAAGGAAAGAAGAAAAAAGUCCUGACAAAGAAACUUAGCUGUAUAAACUGCAGGCUGAAGAAGAACUGCCUUCCACGAAAAGAAACAUAGGGAAACCAUUAUUCUCUUCAAUUCAAC